rnacentral:rRNA from 1 species
UACGGAGGGUGCGAGCGUUGUCCGGAAUCACUGGGCGUAAAGGGCGCGUAGGCGGCCUGAUAAGUAGGGGGUGAAAUCCUGCGGCUUAACCGCAGGGCUGCCUUCUAAACUGUCAGGCUAGAGCACAGUAGAGGCAGGUGGAAUUCCCGGUGUAGCGGUGGAAUGCGUAGAGAUCGGGAAGAACAUCAGUGGCGAAGGCGGCCUGCUGGGCUGCUGCUGACGCUGAGGCGCGACAGCGGUGGGGAGCGAACAGGACUUAGAAA